AUGGCAUCGGCGGCGGACGCCCAAUCGGGAACAAGCGAUGGUGGGAGCGCUGCUGUGAAGUCAGAUCUGGGAGAUUUUCUGGAACAGCUGAACUUGGAAGAAGAAGAAUUCGAUGACCUGGUCAUCGAUGAGGAUGAUCCUGAAAUCAACGAAAGCGUCAGAUGGCUUGCCCUAGCUAGGGUUCAUACUGACAAGUCCUUUAGCCAAACAGCUUUUUACAGGGAGAUGCGCACGGCAUGGAAUACAGCCCAGCCAGUUAGGUUUCAGCCGGUUGGACCGAAUCUAUUCGUCAUGCAAGCUUCCUGUCUGGGAGAUUGGGUGCGCAUGCUUGAUCAGGGGCCAUGGCUAUUCAGGAAUAUGCUUGUGUUAAUGUGUUCAUAUGAUGGUUUUACUAAGGCCGAGGAAGUUCCAAUGGAUUUCAUGCCAAUCUGGCUA
rnacentral:rRNA from 1 species